GUUUCUGACAGUCACAGGACUCAUCAGAGGAUAAAUGGAAGAAAUGUUGAAGAGAGGCCCAGACUGCCAUCAGUUGUUAGGGAAGCAUCCAAAACGAAUGAUGAACAAGCAGAGGAGAUGCUUAGCCUCCCACAAUGCAAUGGAGGAGAGGGAAGUAGUUCUUGUGAACAAACGUGUGAUGAACAAGAGCCCCAGGAUGCCCUGCCCUCAUCCCUGAGA